rnacentral:rRNA from 1 species
GCACAAGCGGUGGAUGAUGUGGUUUAAUUCGAUGCAACGCGAAAACCUUACCCACCUUUGACAUGUACGGAACCCUUUAGAGAUAGAGGGGUGCUCGAAAGAGAGCCGUAACACAGGUGCUGCAUGGCUGUCGUCAGCUCGUGUCGUGAGAUGUUGGGUUAAGUCCCGCAACGAGCGCAACCCUUGUCUUUAGUUGCCAUCAUUCAGUUGGGCACUCUAGCGAGACUGCCGGUAAUAAACCGGAGGAAGGUGGGGAUGACGUCAAAUCAUCAUGCCCCUUAUGACCUGGGCUACACACGUGCUACAAUGGUUGGUACGACGAGUUGCGAGUCGGUGACGGCGAGCUAAUCUCUUAAGGCCAAUCUCAGUUCGGAUUGUAGGCUGCAACUCGCCUACAUGAAGUCGGAAUCGCUAGUAAUCGCGGAUCAGCACGCCGCGGUGAAUACGUUCCCGGGCCUU